CUAAACGGCGAAACUGCGAAUGGCUCAUUAAAUCAGUUAUCGUAUAUUUGAUAGUACCUACUACAUGGAUAACCGUGGUAAUUCUAGAGCUAAUACAUGCUUAAAAUCCCGACUUCGGAAGGGAUGUAUUUAUUAGAUUAAAAACCAAUGCCCUUCGGGGCUCACUGGUGAUUCAUAAUAACUUCUCGAAUCGCAUGGCCUUGUGCCGGCGAUGGUUCAUUCAAAUUUCUGCCCUAUCAACUUUCGACGGCUGGGUCUUGGCCAGCCGUGGUUACAACGGGUAACGGAGGGUUAGGGCUUGACCCCGGAGAAGGAGCCUGAGAAACGGCUACUACAUCCAAGGAAGGCAGCAGGCGCGCAAAUUACCCAAUCCCGAUACGGGGAGGUAGUGACAAUAAAUACUGAUACAGGGCUCUUUUGGGUCUUGUAAUUGGAAUGAGUACAAUUUAAAUCCCUUAACGAGGAACAAUUGGAGGGCAAGUCUGGUGCCAGCAGCCGCGGUAAUUCCAGCUCCAAUAGCGUAUAUUAAAGUUGUUGCAGUUAAAAAGCUCGUAGUUGAACCUUGGGCCUGGCUGGCCGGUCUGCCUCACCGCAUGCACUGGUCCGGCCGGGCCUUUCCCUCUGGGGAGCCGCAUGCCCUUCACUGGGUGUGUCGGGGAACCAGGACUUUUACUGUGAAAAAAUUAGAGUGUUCAAAGCAGGCCUAUGCUCGAAUACAUUAGCAUGGAAUAAUAGAAUAGGACGUUGCGGUUCUAUUUUGUUGGUUUCUAGGACCGCCGUAAUGAUUAAUAGGGACAGUCGGGGGCAUCAGUAUUCAAUCGUCAGAGGUGAAAUUCUUGGAUCGAUUGAAGACUAACUACUGCGAAAGCAUUUGCCAAGGAUGUUUUCAUUAAUCAGGAACGAAAGUUAGGGGAUCGAAAACGAUCAGAUACCGUUGUAGUCUUAACCAUAAACUAUGCCGACUAGGGAUCGGGCGAUGUUUU
rnacentral:rRNA from 1 species